ensembl:snoRNA SNORD24 Small nucleolar RNA SNORD24
UGCAGAUGAUGAUUACGAUAUUUGCUAUCUGAGUUGCAAUGAUUACAUAUGUACCACCGAGAUCGCUGAUGCA